AGUCUGGUGCCAGCAGCCGCGGUAAUUCCAGCUCCAAUAGCGUAUAUUAAAGUUGUUGCAGUUAAAAAGCUCGUAGUUGAACCUUGGGCCUGGUUGGCCGGUCCGCCUCACCGCGUGCACUGGUCCGACCGGGUCUUUCCUCCUGGGGAGCCGCAUGCCCUUCGCUGGGUGUGUCGGGGAGCCAGGACUUUUACUUUGAAAAAAUUAGAGUGUUCAAAGCAGGCCUAUGCUCGAAUACAUUAGCAUGGAAUAAUAGAAUAGGACGCGUGGUUCUAUUUUGUUGGUUUCUAGGACCGCCGUAAUGAUUAAUAGGGAUAGUCGGGGGCAUCAGUAUUCAAUUGUCAGAGGUGAAAUUCUUGGAUUUAUUGAAGACUAACUACUGCGAAAGCAUUUGCCAAGGAUGUUUUCAUUAAUCAGUGAACGAAAGUUAGGGGAUCGAAGACGAUCAGAUACCGUCGUAGUCUUAACCAUAAACUAUGCCGACUAGGGAUCGGGCGAUGUUAUCUUUUUGACUCGCUCGGCACCUCACGAGAAAUCAAAGUCUUUGGGUUCUGGGGGGAGU
rnacentral:rRNA from 1 species